UGGGGAAUUUUGGACAAUGGGGGCAACCCUGAUCCAGCAAUGCCGCGUGUGUGAAGAAGGCCUUCGGGUUGUAAAGCCCUUUUGUUCGGGAAGAAAUCUCUUGGUCUAAUACCACGGAGGAAUGACGGUCCCGGUAGAAUAAGCACCGGCUAACUACGUGCCAGCAGCCGCGGUAAUACGUAGGGUGCAAGCGUUAAUCGGAAUUACUGGGCGUAAAGGGUGCGCAGGCGGAUUUGCAAGUCUGAUGUGAAAUCUACUGGCUUAACCAGUAAACUGCAUUGGAAACUGAUAGGCUAGAGUGAGGCAGAGGGAGGUAGAAUUGGUCGUGUAGCAGUGAAAUGCGUAGAUAUGAGCAGGAAUACCGAUUGCGAAGGCGGUCUCCUGGGAUAACACUGACGCUAAUGCGCGAAAGCGUGGGGAGCAAACA
rnacentral:rRNA from 1 species